GUUGUGGUGAAGGUAAGUAAACAAUUCUAGAAGUUAUACGGAGUUUUUCCUAAAGUGACUUAACCGAAUUUAUUUAGUUUCUUAUAUUUGGAUAUACUACUAGAAUGGAAAAUGAAAGUGGAAAAACAAAAGGGAAUCGACGCGAGCGAGCGGAGGGUUUUCCCCGGGUUGGACAUUGAAUCCUUCUCCGGGUUUUAGCUCUCUCCUCCGGAGAAGGGGAUCCGAGGCUGUUCGUCCAUCGGUCCAUUCGAGAUACAGCGAAGCUCCCGUCUUGCCGCCGCCCGCCAUUCCCAGUCCACGACUGCCGCCGUCACCGUCCUGUCCUGUUCUUCUCUCCCGACCGUUCUGAAGGCGCCGCCUUUCUUGAUUCCAUCUCAAGAAAACAACAGUCCACCUUGCAGGUUAAUUGCUGUUUGCUCCAUUAUUUUGAGAUAAAAAGGGAGGGCCUUAAUUAAUGUUCUGUGUGAAGCUAAACAGCUGAAUUUUGAAAAUAUACGGUGAAAAAUGUUCAAAAGUUCCUGGGUAUAUUGAGUAUCCGCACAUGUUUCAGAAAUCCGAUUAUUUUUUUGAUUGGUCCUGUAAAUGUCACAAAGCAGACCUCAAAAUUUCAGAGCAUGUAUGCUAUAGCUAAAUAUUUUGGUUAUAUUGAUUUUUACAACUUGCCAAAGACUAAAUAGGUCACUCCUCACUCACUAAAAUAUGUGAUUUUCAUGUGAUCAGUAAAAUGUUUCCUAUUAUGUCAGUUAAACAGUUUAGUGUUACCUUGCAGACGCAUAUAUGUUUUCUCUUCUUUUUUGUGUUGUGUGUGGCCCUUCUCUCUUGAUUGUUACAGCAAUAUAUAAACUUAGGUGUUAGUUAAUGUUGUUGCUUAAUGGUCCUUGGUAGUUUGCUCAGCUUUGUAGAUAAAUAAAUAGGGUGUCAUCUUAAUUAACAUUCUCUGUGAAGAUGAGCACAUGAAUUUUGAGUUUCAACGGAUGAAGAAAAGAAGUUCAAAAUUUCAUUA